rnacentral:lncRNA from 1 species
GGUUGAUAUAAAUAUCGUAAAUUAUAAAUAUAUUUUUAUAAAAUAAAAUUUUUAAUAUUUUUAAAUAUAUCUAUCUAGUUUAUUAUUGUUAAAAUACUAUUUAUUUUAUAAAUAAAAUAAUCUUUUUGGCAUCACAAAUAUAUCCUUCCAAAAGUUUCAAAUAUUAACUAAAGAGAGGUAAAAACAUCAAUUCACCUCAUUAACUAAUUAGGGUUAGGUAUUUUACAUAUGGUUAUCUAAUUUUUUCUAACGGAUCCUAACAGUAGAGACAUAUUUAAAAAUAUUAAAAUUUUUGUAGGGAUAACAUAUAAAAGUUGAACUUUGUAGAGAUAUGUUUGCAAUUCAUUAUAUUUGUAGGGACCUGUAUGCAAUUAACCCUAUAUAAAAAUACCUUUUAUGCUUUUAAAAUUUACACAAGUCAUUUGGUAUUUAUAAAUUUCGACUUUUAAAUAAAAAUUAUUGGAUUAGGGUAAUAGCGGUUCUCUAGUAUUAAGUGAGUGAUCAAUAGAAUAAUAUAAUGUAAAGAAUGAAAUUGGUCAAAAAAAUAAAUCUAACGGUGAAAAACUUAAAAGCAUCAAGUACGUACUUAAUUAAUACUUUUUAAAAAAUACUAUAGCCACCAUUAUAAUAUAAUGUGUUUUUAGAAGCACAGCGGUGGUCUCUAUGCUAUCAAAUUGUUUUCGAUGUUUGGACUUUCGAAUCGACGAUCGACUCCGUUAGACUUGAUCUAGAGUAUUUGAAGUAUCUAGAAAAUAAAUUUUACUAUUUUUCGUUAUCAUUUGUCUAGUGAUCGAAAAAUCACAAAAUAAAUAAUUUUAAUGACUAUGGUGAGUCGUUUGCAAGUUUAAUAAUAUAAAAAUAUCAAAUCACAUGAAAUUUGAAUAGAAAAUAUUUUUUAUACUAU